GAAAAGCAUAAGUGGAAGUACAAUCUCAGGGAAGUACCGAAAUGCUGCCCAGAAAACCCAAAGAAUAAAGAGAGGACAUUCUCUGAGUCCCUGAAGGGAAGCCCCUCGACACUGGCCAAUGGACAGAAACAAAAAGUCGAAGAGACGGCCAGCUACAAAACACAGCUGAACAAGAUUCCCACGAUACACCUCCACAAAAACACUAGAGGAAGUGAUUUCACAAAGUCUAUAAGGAUGGUCAAAACCAGUAAGAGGACAUGCUUUCAAAGAGGAGUUUCAGAGAAACUGGCAAAAAAUUUUAUCUGUUUCAGGAGUAGAGAAAAAAGAGAUAUGCCAGACUGAAACUCACUGAAGAAUUUACACAUUGUUUUUUGUUUUGUUUUGUUAUCAAGAAUUGCCACCCUGUCAUGGUGUGGAGUUGCCAUUAAGGCUGUCUCAGUGUUUUCUCGCCUCAGCUCUAUAAUAUCUUAAAUCAACAUUAUGAAUCCCACAGCUGCAUCGGCUACGCAGGAAGGGGAAACCUGCACAGAUGACUCGGAUCCCAGUGCAUGACACAUCUUCCACUCCUCUGCUCAUUUGUUUCUAGAAAUGUUUUUAAGAAACAGGAAGAAACCAAUUACAUAAGUUACAGCGAAUGCUUCCUGAUUAAAGCAGAGCUGUGUAAUUUUGGUUUGUUGGCUAAAAGCUGGCAUAAGCCUAAAGGAUUCCACCAUCUCCCUUUCAAACCUCCCAAACCCCAUGAAAGGCUGUGGCUCUUUGUGCAUGCAGCACUAAGCUAUUAAGCAUUAAAGAAGUAUCUACAGAAAAACGGAACAAAUAGCUAAUAUAGUUAUAGAUAUUAGUUUGUGGAGGUAUUAGUUUUUACAAAUUGUCAGCUUCACAUAAAGUUUCAGCCGCCAUUGUGUUAGAGUGAAAUUCUUACUGGGUGAAGUUUGUGUGUUUGUAGAGAAAAUGCGUGUGUAUAAAAAUUUUAAAUGAAAAGGAAAAUCCAGAAACAUGAAAGCAGCAGGCCAUGCAAGAUGAAAAGUGCUGUAUGUGUAGAGGAAUUACUGUAUAAUUCAUGGUACUUCAGUUGUUUCCACUGUGGUCCUGGUGAAAAUUAAGGAGUACUUUGGAUGAAGGAAAAAAUGGCCAAACUGUACUGAACACAAUUUCUGAACCACCCAUAUUUUCAGCAGAAGAGCAGAAAUUUGUGCUCAUCCUUAGAGCUGAGCACUACCUGGAUGCCAGCGUUUUUCCAGUGUGAGAGGAACCCAGAGAACCAGGAGGAGACCCGUGUGCAGAUAAAGAAGAACAUGAAAAUGAGCUGGUGAGGUGUGUCAGCUCAUAUCUAUGUGAGAGAUGAGACCAGGCUGAGACAGAGCCAUUCACACUGUGAGUGGAGAACACAGGAGGCCUGUAGUACAAGCCGCCUGACUCAGAGAGAAGGAGCUCUGCACGGCUAGCAUUAGACUAAACAAUACCAGCCAGACGGACAGACGAAUGAAUGGAAGACGAAUGGAAGUAUAUCUUACAGUUUUAAGAAGCCUCACUGUAUGUGUUACAAGUGUAAUAAAAUGAGGAUUUGGACUGAGGCAUCGAUUUAAAAGGCAACAACUGAAUAAACCAGUGCAACAAUCUCUAAUUACAACUAAUCACAAUAUAUCGUAUAUAGUAAAUGUGGUGUAGUCAUUAGAUUCUGUAAAUAAAUGAUUUUCUAAAUGAAAAACAAACCCUUGAUUUUCAGCGAUUCCUGAUUACAGGUUAAAUUUGUUUGUUUGUUAUAUAAUGCACAUAACAAUUAGAAAUAAACUGUAAAAAAACAAAUAUUUAUUUAUUUGCAAAAACUAACCAUUUACAGCAAAUCAUUGAAAUGAUGUUUCUCUCAAAUAGAAGACAUUUAAAGAAAAGGAUAUGAGAAAACAUUGUUCACACUAUUUGCUAUUGAUUGUGCUGCUGAUUUAGUGAACACGUUUUUCUCAACAGAGGAAAUGAGGAGGCGGCGUGCAUCCAAAAUCUUGUAAUGUUGGCUAUGUCAUGAGAUUUACUACAAACUUUUUUCUUUUCUUGUUUAAACAUUCAACAUGUUAACAAAUACAGUUUAACCACAAGGAACAACAUUAUCACUUAUAGCACAUACUCAGAACUUCCAUGUCAGUCCUGUUGCCUUGGGGGACAGCGCAGUGAUCAUUGUUUCACACGCCAUCAAAAAUAAUCAAAGUAAAACUUCUGACCUUUAUA